rnacentral:rRNA from 1 species
GACGAACGCUGGCGGCGUGCCUAAUACAUGCAAGUCGAACGCUAAGGGCCGGUACUUGUACCAACUGGAUGAGCAGCGCACGGGUGAGUAACGUGUGUGGAAUCUGCUUUUGAGCGGGGGACAACAUUGGGAAACGAAUGCUAAUACCGCAUAAGAUCUUUAAACACAAGGUUUAAGUUUGAAAGAUGCAAUUGCAUCACUCAAAGAUGAUCCCGCGUUGUAUUAGCUAGUUGGUGAGGUAAAGGCGCACCAAGGCGGUGAAACAGAGCCGACCUGAGAGGGUGGGCCGCCACACUGAGACUGUGACACGGCCCAAACGCCCACGGGAGGGAGCAGGAGGGCAACUUCGGGCAGGGGUGGAAGACUGACCGAGCAACGCCGAGGGAGUGAAGAAGGUUUUCGGGUCGGAAAAGUCUGUUUGUAGGGAAGAACGUUGGUGAGAGUGGAAAGCUCAGCAAGUGACGGUAACUACCCAGAAAGCAACGGCUAACUACGUG